CGCCCCCCCACCACAACUCCCGAAUGCGGAGUUUUGAGUGGAACUGGCCGUCCCGGCAAUCGGGUCGGCUGAAAUGGAGGGAAUUUGGCCGCCGUGGCAUCACUUGCCCCGCGAUCAGGUGCGAUCUCGAAAGAGUCAUUCCAAGUGCGGGGCUCCCAGUGAGCCCGAGUGCGUGCCCCGAGUUCCACAGCAGGCUACCUUGAACAACACUUGGGCCAGCAAUGGCCCCAAGUGCUGCAAAGCGUAAAGAGAGGUAACGC
rnacentral:misc_RNA from 1 species